UCGCCGGACUUCCGCCCUUCACUGGGGAU
rnacentral:sRNA from 1 species